AUUGAACGCUGGCGGCAGGCCUAACACAUGCAAGUCGAACGAGUGGCGGACGGGUGAGUAAUGUCUGGGAAACUGCCCGAUGGCGGGGGAUCACUACUUGAAACGGUAGCUAAUAACGCAUACCAUCGGAUGUGCCUAGAUGGGAUUAGCUAGUCGGUGGGGUAACGGCUCACCUAGGCGACGAGCCCUAGCUGGUCUGAGAGGAUGACCAGUCACACUGUGACUGAGACAAUGUCCAGACUCGUACGGGAGGCAGCAGUGAGGAAUAUUGCGCAAGGGGCACUAGGCAAAUUCGCCCAUGCCGCGUGUAUCAAGCAGGCCUUCGGGUUGUGAAGUACUUUCAGCGAGGAGGCGUUACUCGCAGAAGAAGCACCGGCUAACUCCGUGCCAGCAGCCGCGGUAAUAC
rnacentral:rRNA from 1 species